rnacentral:rRNA from 1 species
AUUAAUACCCGAUGGCAUAGUUCUUCCGCAUGGUGGAACUAUUAAAGAAUUUCGGUCAUCGAUGGGGAUGCGUUCCAUUAGGUUGUUGGCGGGGUAACGGCCCACCAAGCCUUCGAUGGAUAGGGGUUCUGAGAGGAAGGUCCCCCACAUUGGAACUGAGACACGGUCCAAACUCCUACGGGAGGCAGCAUG